AGGCAGGGAGCCCUCCCACAUCUCUGUGGAGGAGACUUCUUGCCCACAGCCCCUCUGAAAGCCAUCUCGGCUCCCGAUCCUCCUCCUACAUGCUGACUCUCAAGCUGACCUUGGGACUUAGCAAGGCCAUGGUUCCCACAGUACAGUUAUCUGCGAGGAGGGAGCACAGGCCUUCCCCCUCCUCUCAUUGCGUUACUGAGAAGAAGGAGCAAGCCAGGGCCUUCCCAGAACAGCUGUAAUGUGACCAGCUGCUUCAAGCCCUCAUCACCUUGACUUCUUUGCCAUGAUGGACUGCACUCUUGAACUUCUGUGGGCUCAUCCAUGUUCCCUCUGGCUAUUGUUGAGAUGGAUUUGGGACUAGAGAUAAACAGCUAUAAGAGCUCAGAUGCUUC
ensembl:lncRNA